rnacentral:tmRNA from 1 species
GGGGGUGUAAUGGCUUCGACAUGCAUUUAAUUGUUAUUGUUGCAGUGGUCUUGUAAACCUAAAUACUUUCUAGGCUUUUUAAUGCAAACUUUAGAAAACAAAAAAGAAAAAGAAUUUUUCAUGACAAAUGUUAUGAACAAUCAAUUAAAUCCAGUUUUUGCUUAAUUAAAUCUGGUCAAAUUCUUAUUAAUGGCCCAUUUUUAGAAUUUUGUCGUUAAGGGCUAGACUUGGCGAAAAUCAGUAAAUAGCUAAGUGACAUUAUCAUCUGGAAUUAUUUAACUUUUUUGUUUAUUUUAAUUUAAAUAAUUUAUUUAAAAAUAAACUAAACUGUAGAACCAAUACCAAAAGAAUGUGUGGACCGGGGUUCGAUUCCCCGCACCUCCACCA